rnacentral:rRNA from 1 species
CUACGGGACGCUGCAGUGAGGAAUAUUGCACAAUGGAGGAGACUCUGAUGCAGCAACGCCGCGUGGAGGAUGACGCAUUUCGGUGUGUAAACUCCUUUUAUAUGUCAAGAAAAUGACGGUAGCAUAUGAAUAAGCACCGGCUAACUCCGUGCCAGCAGCCGCGGUAAUACGGAGGGUGCAAGCGUUACUCGGAAUCACUGGGCGUAAAGGACGCGUAGGCGGGAUAUCAAGUCAGGUGUGAAAUCCUACAGCUUAACUGUAGAACUGCACUUGAAACUGGUAACCUAGAGUAUGGGAGGGGGAGAUGGAAUUAGUGGUGUAGGGGUAAAAUCCGUAGAUAUCACUAGGAAUACCUAAAGCGAAGGCGAUCUCCUGGAACAUAACUGACGCUAAGGCGUGAAAGCGUGGGGAGCAAACAGGAUUAGAUACCCCCGUAGUC